GAUGAACGCUGGCGGCGUGCCUAAUACAUGCAAGUCGAGCGAACAGACGAGGAGCUUGCUCCUCUGACGUUAGCGGCGGACGGGUGAGUAACACGUGGAUAACCUACCUAUAAGACUGGGAUAACUUCGGGAAACCGGAGCUAAUACCGGAUAAUAUAUUGAACCGCAUGGUUCAAUAGUGAAAGACGGUUUUGCUGUCACUUAUAGAUGGAUCCGCGCCGCAUUAGCUAGUUGGUAAGGUAACGGCUUACCAAGGCAACGAUGCGUAGCCGACCUGAGAGGGUGAUCGGCCACACUGGAACUGAGACACGGUCCAGACUCCUACGGGAGGCAGCAGUAGGGAAUCUUCCGCAAUGGGCGAAAGCCUGACGGAGCAACGCCGCGUGAGUGAUGAAGGUCUUCGGAUCGUAAUACUCUGUUAUUAGGGAAGAACAAAUGUGUAAGUAACUAUGCACGUCUUGACGGUACCUAAUCAGAAAGCCACGGCUAACUACGUG
rnacentral:rRNA from 1 species